AGUGAACGCUGGCGGUAGGCCUAACACAUGCAAGUCGAACGGCAGCACAGUAAGAGCUUGCUCUUACGGGUGGCGAGUGGCGGACGGGUGAGGAAUACAUCGGAAUCUACUUUUUCGUGGGGGAUAACGUAGGGAAACUUACGCUAAUACCGCAUACGACCUACGGGUGAAAGCAGGGGAUCUUCGGACCUUGCGCGAUUGAAUGAGCCGAUGUCGGAUUAGCUAGUUGGCGGGGUAAAGGCCCACCAAGGCGACGAUCCGUAGCUGGUCUGAGAGGAUGAUCAGCCACACUGGAACUGAGACACGGUCCAGACUCCUACGGGAGGCAGCAGUGGGGAAUACUGGACAAUGGGCGCAGGCCUGAUCCAGCCAUACCGCGUGGGUGAAGAAGGCCUUCGGGUUGUAAAGCCCUUUUGUUGGGAAAGAAAAGCAGCAGGUUAAUACCCCGCUGUUCUGACGGUACCCAAAGAAUAAGCACCGGCUAACUUCGUG
rnacentral:rRNA from 1 species